UAGUAUCAUAACUGCUGUAUAUACCAUUUGUAGAGUGUCUGUCUGUCUAAUUUAUGCCAAUGUUUCCAGGGUCCUCCAGGUCCUCCUGGUCCAGAGGGACUUCCAGGGGACAAGGGAUUUCCAGGACCCAGGGGCGCUAAAGGAACAAUGGGACUGCGCCCUCCUCCCCCAUGUGAAGUCAUUGACUAUGUGCGUAGACACAGCC